rnacentral:rRNA from 1 species
UACGGAGGGUGCAAGCGUUAUCCGGAUUCACUGGGUUUAAAGGGUGCGUAGGCGGGCAGGUAAGUCAGAGGUGAAAUCUCCGAGCUUAACUCGGAAACUGCCUUUGAUACUAUCUGUCUUGAAUAUGGUGGAGGUAAGCGGAAUAUGUCAUGUAGCGGUGAAAUGCUUAGAGAUGACAUAGAACACCCAUUGCGAAGGCAGCUUACUACGCCUAUAUUGACGCUGGAGGCACGAAAAGCCGUGGGGAUCAAACAGG